rnacentral:rRNA from 1 species
AGUGAACGCUGGCGGUAGGCCUAACACAUGCAAGUCGAACGGCAGCACAGUAAGAGCUUGCUCUUACGGGUGGCGAGUGGCGGACGGGUGGGGAAUACAUCGGAAUCUACUUUUUCGUGGGGGAUAACGUAGGGAAACUUACGCUAGUACAGCAUACGACCUACGGGAGAAAGCAGGAGAUCUUCGGACCUUGCGCGAUUGAAUGAGCCGAUGUCGGAUUGGCUAGUUGGCGGGGUAAAGGCCCACCAAGGCGACGAUCCGUAGCUGGUCUGAGAGGAUGAUCAGGCACACUGGAACUGAGACACGGUCCAGACUCCUACGGGAGGCAGCAGUGGGGAAUAUUGGACAAUGGGCGCAAGCCUGAUCCAGCCAUACCGCGUGGGUGAAGAAGGCCUUCGGGUUGUAAAGCCCUUUUGUUGGGAAAGAAAAGCAGUAGGUUAAUACCCCGCUGUUAUGACGGUACCCAAAGAAUAAGCACCGGCUAACUUCGUG